AGUUCACCAUCUUUUGGGUCCUAAGUGAAGAAAUUCAAUAAAGUGCGGGUAAACGGCGGGAGUAACUAUGACUCUCUUAAGGUAGUCAAAUGCCUUGUCAUCUAAUUAGUGACGCGUAUGAAUGGAU
rnacentral:ncRNA from 1 species